rnacentral:rRNA from 1 species
UACGGAGGGUGCAAGCGUUAUCCGGAUUUACUGGGCUUAAAGGGUGCGUAGGCGGGUCAUUAAGUCAGUGGUGAAAGCUCCGAGCUUAACUCGGAAACUGCCAUUGAUACUAUUGGUCUUGAAUUCGGUCGAGGUUGGCGGAAUGCGUCGUGUAGCGGUGAAAUGCUUAGAUAUGACACAGAACACCGAUUGCGAAGGCAGCUAGCUAGACCGACAUUGACGCUGAGGCACGAAAGCGUGGGGAUCAAACAGG